rnacentral:rRNA from 1 species
AGUCGAGCGAUAACCGGGGGCAACUCUGGUGAAAGCGGCGGACUGGUGAGUAACGCGUGGGUGACCUGCCUCGGGGAUGGGGACAGCCGUUGGAAACAGCGGGUAAUACCGAAUACGUUCGCAUAGCUAAGGCUAUGUGAGGAAAGGGGCUACGGCCCCGCCCCGGGAUGGGCCCGCGUCCCAUUAGCUUGUUGGCGAGGUAACGGCUCACCAAGGCGAAGAUGGGUAGCCGGCCUGAGAGGGCGAACGGCCACACUGGGACUGAGAUACGGCCCAGACUCCUACGGGAGGCAGCAGCUAAGAAUAUUCCGCAAUGGACGAAAGUCUGACGGAGCGACGCCGCGUGGAUGAGGAAGGCCGAAAGGUUGUAAAAUCCUUUUGCAGGCGCAGAAGAAGGCGGGGAGGGAAUGCCCUGUCGGUGACGCCGGCCCGCGAAUAAGCCCCGGCUAAUUACGUGCCAGCAGCCGCGGUAACACGUAAGGGGCGAGCGUUGUUCGGAAUUAUUGGGCGUAAAGGGCGCGUAGGCGGUCGCGUAAGUCUGAUGUGAAAACCCCGGGCUCAACCCGGGAACUGCAUUGGAAACUGUGCGACUUGAGUCACGGAGGGGAAAUCGGAAUUCCUGGUGUAGGGGUGAAAUCUGUAGAUAUCAGGAAGAACACCGGUGGCGAAGGCGGAUUUCCAGCCGAUGACUGACGCUGAGGCGCGAAAGUGCGGGGAGCAAACAGGAUUAGAUACCCUGGUAGUCCGCACUAUAAACGAUGCACACUAGGUGUCGGGACGAGCGUCUCGGCGCCGGAGCGAACGCGAUAAGUGUGCCGCCUGGGGAGUAUGCCCGCAAGG